GGCGCUGUGCUGUGUAGACAGAGACAGAAGCUCCACCAGGAUAUAUAGCUAGUCUACUGUAGCUCUGUUACUGUGUAGUGCCUGUAAAGUUGUGGUUGCUCUAUAAGGACAGACAUUACCAUAAUGUAAUGGAUGGAGUGAAGGUCUCCAACUGGGCUCCACCGUACGUCGACUGCUGUUAGACGAGCAACAGCGACAGGGUGCAUCCAAGGAGGGAGUCGCACAGUGAGUCAAAAGACCCCUAGGAGGCAUCUCUGGGUUUGUCAGACACAUCACAACUAAUCCAGACAGUUGCCAAGCCAUGAUGGGAUUUGAAUCAAGCUUCAAAUAGCAGCUGCCACUGCAUAACUGGAACAAAUAGAAGUCAUACAAGCAGAAAAUAACAGGAAACAACAAGAGGUGCCUCAGCUCCAUA
rnacentral:lncRNA from 1 species